CUUACCGGGUCCGGACCACUGAGGAUUGACAGACAAAUAUAGAAAUUUAAUUCUAUAUAUAAAGAUGCUAGUUCUUUCAUGAUUAUGUGAUAGGUGGUGCAUGGCCGUUCUUAGUUCGUGGAGUGAUCUGUCUGCUUAAUUGCGUUUCAAUUUUUAUUAUGUAUACGUAUGACCCACGUUUACGCGUGCGAGUCUAGUAUGCUAUCAUUUGAAAGCAACGAACGUGACCGUAUCCUUUUAUUAUAUACGCACGCGUAUAUUUAUUCAUUAAAGGGACCGCUGUUUCUUUUUUUAAACCAGAGGAAGGUUACGGCAAUAACAGGUCUGUGAUGCCCUUCGAUGUUCCGGGCUGCACACGUGCUACAAUGAUUAUUUCAUUAAGUAUCUACUAUACUGCACAUUAUGUGUAUUAAAACCUACCCUGAGAAUGGGCGGGUAAUCAAUUAGAAGUAAUGAUUUCCUUUUUUUUAUACGCAACUAUGUACCGUUUAUUACAUCCCAUAAUAUCUUUUUAUUAUG
rnacentral:rRNA from 1 species